rnacentral:rRNA from 1 species
GACGAACGCUGGCGGCGUGCUUAACACAUGCAAGUCGAACGGAAAGGCCCUGCUUUUGUGGGAUGCUCGAGUGGCGAACGGGUGAGUAACACGUGAGUAACCUGCCCUUGACUUUGGGAUAACUUCAGGAAACUGGGGCUAAUACCGGAUAGGAGCUCCUGCUGCAUGGUGGGGGUUGGAAAGUUUCGGCGGUUGGGGAUGGACUCGCGGCUUAUCAGCUUGUUGGUGGGGUGGUGGCUUACCAAGGCUUUGACGGGUAGCCGGCCUGAGAGGGUGACCGGCCACAUUGGGACUGAGAUACGGCCCAGACUCCUACGGGAGGCAGCAGUGGGGAAUAUUGCACAAUGGGCGGAAGCCUGAUGCAGCAACGCCGCGUGCGGGAUGACGGCCUUCGGGUUGUAAACCGCUUUCGCCUGUGACGAAGCGUGAGUGACGGUAAUGGGUAAAGAAGCACCGGCUAACUACGUG